GGGUGCGUGAUUGCACUUCGACGGAGUCACUCAUUCUUCGCUUCUUCUUUGGGCUGUAACCAUGGUAACAUCGAUCAGAGAGCGAUUUCCAUGCGAGAGUGCAUGGAGUCCAACUAGCUACUUAUUACUUACUUCAAGACGUUUCUUUUCAUGUGUUGUUCUUGACAGCACUUGAAACUAUGAUAGGUGCAGAACAGUCGUCCACUGUGACUCCGCAGUCAAAAUAAGCUUGUGUUCAUUUGUUCAGCUGUAGUCUCGAAACAGUCCGUCCAGGACCAUGGAUGAUCAUCACUAUUUCAAAGAAGGAGCUCCGACCAACCUCUGAUUUCCUACAUCGCGGUCGCUAGUGAAAAAUCGGCAUUGGGACAAGAAAAGGCGGUCACCGGUCGCGUUCAGCAGCAGUCUACAUCGUUCAUGUUGCAUGAAUUACGUAAGCGUGCAAGUGCGCUGGACACAGAGUGUGCAAUGUGAAGGAAGCAGCAGCAGGGUAAAUCUCUGCCAACGGCAAUGUACCCCCAUCUUGUCAAGUGAGUUUUGCGUGAGUACGGCUUCGACCAGCUCCAGAUACCAAAGCUGCCCCUGCUCUGGAACCGUUUUUUCGCUUGGAUAUGGCAUCAGAAUAUCUAGUGUUUGUAACGAUCGAUGUGGGUGAAUGGCCGAACUGCAGUCGGUCAUUCCACGCCAGUCUGUUAGCCGCAGGAAAACGUUCUACUGGUGUAAAGCCAUUGCCUACUUUCAUUUGUCCCCUCCAUCCGCCAAGUGCCAAAAGAUUGGGCGUACGGAGAUUCUCCAAGUGCAGUGCACUGUCCUGCUCUCCAUGACCAUUGCCAUCCCGCUCAACACAGUGAGACAGUCAAAACGCAAGCGGACUGCAUCGUAGAAAGCUGAAUGGCAGCAAGCCCGUGUCUGAACCAAAGCCAGCCCAUACCGGAAGGUUUUUGCAAUACCGGUAUACAGGUACCGGCUAUACACCAUUGCUACUAUUAGCUGUCUGCAAAUGCCCUUGCAAGGGAGGCCAAGUCAAAGACCCCGCGAUUGUAUUACAUCUGAUUCCCGACCUGAGCUCUACUGAACGCUUUGUUCACCAAGUGAUAUUCUGUUCAGUGCGAGUACUGGCUUUGAAAAUUAGUACAAGUUGGGUAGUGGGCAUAAACGCUCAACCCGUUUGCAAAACAACAACAUUGUCGCCAUGGAGUGUUGCUGGUGAACUGUUCAUACUGGUGUUUGCUCAGGAGAGGUGGCUGUAUUUUGGGGGGGGGGGGUAGUGUUGGACAUGCAGCUGCGUUUGUGUCACUUUGUUGUACAUGCUGCUGCACCGUCUUUUGCCCCCCCCCCCCCCCAUACGCACUUUCCGUACUUGUCCCUGUUGUAUUUGGCCGUGAGCCGUCUUGACCUCACUUCCCGUUCGGGACUGUUUGUACCACCAUUUGUUCACCUCUUUCGCUUCCGCCUUCGCGCUUUCCCCUCACGCCUCAAUAAUAUAUCCCCUUGUCUCGUCUUAUCUCGGUGUCCUUUGUCCAGUUGUCUCCUCAAAGUAAGAUCAAAAUAUACAUCUACUCGUACCCUCUGUAACCAAAGCUAUUCGCCCAUUUUUGGGCGUGGUUGCGAAGGGACAAUACUUCGUUCUUAUCUAGAUGACUCAAGCGUCGCGUGGUCCCGUGUGGUCGGGAAAAAUGAACCAGCUACAACUUUGUCAGAGUUUGCUGAUGGAGUUGUCAGUGCUUUUGUUCCAUCAGUUCAAGUCUGGUUCGAUGUAGGGCUGAAACGAUCAUCAAUAACUCCUAACGAUCAACCAAUAUCAUUAACGGUCGAUAUAUUGGUUUUAUCGAUUUUUAUCGGCUCUAUCGAACACCAGUUUAUGAAGAAUUUCCAUGAUGCUUUUGCUACGUCACAAAUUUGUGGCACCGCACUGUUGACAUCUGUAGAUAUCUGGCUUGGUUUAUCAACAUAAACUACUCAAGUAGAGAAUUUCAUGUUGUUUCUAGAGCGAAGAAUCUUGUCAUCACCCUCUGGGAACUGCUCUCAUCUCCGACUUCUCCCACAAAUGAACCGAAGAAAAGGCAAAGUCUUCUCUCCUCAUCUCUUUCAAAGCCACAAAUCAAUUUACUGCGCUUGAAAGUACAUGAUUGCACUCGUAUCCACUAUAGGAUGGAGUGCAAGGGCUAGAAUACUGUCACUGAUAUGCAUCCAUAAAAAUCAUUAGUACUCGUUUUGAGCAAUAGUGAUUAUCGAUAGCAACCUUAACGAUCGAUAUGCGAGUUAUCGGUAUAAUUGUUUCAGCCCUAGUUCGAUGUGUACUUUCCUUGCAGUCAAGCUGUGCUUUCUUGUCGAUCUGGUUCUUUCUUUUCCCAUACCCAUUUUGCCAUGGCGUUCUUUGCUGCAAUAUCAGCUGUGGAAGGGCUUCAUGCAGCUGUUCAUGUGUUGAGUAGAAUUGUUUCUGUUGCUGUGGUGUGCUGCUGCUGUUCCUGCUGCUGUGCUGUUGCUACCUCUGCUGUUGCUCUGGUGUAGCUGUCGCUGCUGCUGCUGUACAGUGCUGUGGUGUUGCUGUGCUGUGCUGUAUCAGUGGUGUGCUGGGUUCUGGUUGUCUGAAAUUGCCGGCCUAAUCUAAUAUUGUUAUUUCCAAUUUUCAGCGGCCAGGGUACUACUAUCAGUACAUUGUGGCUGUUUGAAAUGGCCUGGGACGGCUUGUUUUGAUAUUCUCGUGUGUACAUACCGGCGGGUCACCGUGUUCUGUGGGUUGUGUCUCACAGAAUGGGGUAAGCUUAUGAUUAUGACCAUUCAGAAAAACCUCUCCUCGCCGACAUCGGUGUCAAGGGAGGACAGCUCGUCGCAGUCCCAUUGAUUUUGUGUAUAUUAAUUUUUAGUAUGUGCAGACACUUGAACAUGCGGUCGCCUGUGAAAUACGAAUUGCGGACACUCUUGCCUGCUCACAA